rfam:Ruminococcus sp. CAG:9 genomic scaffold, scf407
UAAAAUGCAAUGAUAGGGAAUAGUACACUCGGACCGGAGCACAGAGAACUGCUGGUUGCUGAGAAGCAGUGGAAGGAAAUUGUGGAACUCGCCUUUGAGCAGCUGCCUGAAAUUAUACAAGAGUAGGUGCAGACGGUUUCCACCGUUAUAUGGAGAGGAUAUAAGAAUACCGGAUAUCCGGAGAUUCCGUAUCCCAUGAGUGUAUGACAUUGUUCAUAAAUAAGAGUGGUACCGCGUAAGAUGAUAAUAUCUUUCGUCUCUUGC